GAUGAACGCUGGCGGCGUGCCUAAUACAUGCAAGUCGAGCGAACAGACGAGGAGCUUGCUCCUCUGACGUUAGCGGCGGACGGGUGAGUAACACGUGGAUAACCUACCUAUAAGACUGGGAUAACUUCGGGAAACCGGAGCUAAUACCGGAUAAUAUAUUGAACCGCAUGGUUCAAUAGUGAAAGACGGUUUUGCUGUCACUUAUAGAUGGAUCCGCGCCGCAUUAGCUAGUUGGUAAGGUAACGGCUUACCAAGGCAACGAUGCGUAGCCGACCUGAGAGGGGGUUCGGCCACACUGGAACUGGGAAACGGUCCAGACUCCUACGGGAGGCAGCAGUAGGGAAUCUUCGGCAAUGGGCGAAAGCCUGACGGAGCAACGCCGCGUGAGUGAGGAAGGUCUUCGGAUCGUAAAACUCUGUUAUUAGGGAAGAACAAAUGUGUAAGUAACUAUGCACGUCUUGACGGUACCGAAGCAGAAAGCCACGGCUAACUACGG
rnacentral:rRNA from 1 species